GAGUUUGAUCCUGGCUCAAGAUGAACGCUGGCGGCGUGCUUAACACAUGCAAGUCGAACGGAGAUAUCAUUUUCGAAGCGAUUAGUUUACUAAGAGCGGAGAUGUUGCUAUCUUAGUGGCGGACGGGUGAGUAACGCGUGGGUAACCUGCCUUGCACUGGGGGAUAACACUUAGAAAUAGGUGCUAAUACCGCAUAACAGGAGAAGAUGCAUGUCUUUUCCUUGAAAACUCCGGUGGUGUAAGAUGGACCCGCGUCUGAUUAGCUUGUUGGCGGGGUAACGGCCCACCAAGGCGACGAUCAGUAGCCGGCCUGAGAGGGUGAACGGCCACAUUGGGACUGAGACACGGCCCAAACUCCUACGGGAGGCAGCAGUGGGGAAUAUUGGACAAUGGGGGGAACCCUGAUCCAGCGACGCCGCGUGAGUGAAGAAGUAUUUCGGUAUGUAAAGCUCUAUCAGCAGGGAAGAAAGAAAUGACGGUACCUGACUAAGAAGCCCCGGCUAACUACGUGCCAGCAGCCGCGGUAAUACGUAGGGGGCAAGCGUUAUCCGGAUUUACUGGGUGUAAAGGGAGCGUANACGGCGAUGCAAGUCUGAAGUGAAAGGCGGGGGCCCAACCCCCGGACUGCUUUGGGAACUGUAUGGCUGGAGUGCAAGANAGGUAAGUGGAAUCCCUAGUGUAGCGGUGAAAUGCGUAGAUAUUAAGAGAACACCAGUGGCGAAAGCGGCUUACUGGACUGUUACUGACG
rnacentral:rRNA from 1 species